rnacentral:rRNA from 1 species
GGUGCUGCAUGGCUGUCGUCAGCUCGUGUUGUGAAAUGUUGGGUUAAGUCCCGCAACGAGCGCAACCCUUAUCCUUUGUUGCCAGCGGUCCGGCCGGGAACUCAAAGGAGACUGCCAGUGAUAAACUGGAGGAAGGUGGGGAUGACGUCAAGUCAUCAUGGCCCUUACGACCAGGGCUACACACGUGCUACAAUGGCGCAUACAAAGAGAAGCGACCUCGCGAGAGCAAGCGGACCUCAUAAAGUGCGUCGUAGUCCGGAUUGGAGUCUGCAACUCGACUCCAUGAAGUCGGAAUCGCUAGUAAUCGUGGAUCAGAAUGCCACGGUGAAUACGUUCCCGGGCCUUGUACACACCGCCCGUCACACCAUGGGAGUGGGUUGCAAAAGAAGUAGGUAGCUUAACCUUCGGGAGGGCGCUUACCACUUUGUGAUUCAUGACUGGGGUGAAGUCGUAACAAGGUAACCGUAG